GGGCUUGACAUCCCACGAACCUGCCCGAAAAGGUGGGGUGCCCGCAAGGGAGCGUGGAGACAGGUGGUGCAUGGCUGUCGUCAGCUCGUGUCGUGAGAUGUUGGGUUAAGUCCCGCAACGAGCGCAACCCUCACCCCUAGUUGCCACCGGGUUAAGCCGAGCACUCAAGGGGAACUGCCAGCGUCAAGCUGGAGGAAGGCGGGGAUGACGUCAAGUCAUCAUGCCCCUUACGCCCUGGGCUACACACGUGCUACAAUGGCCAGUACAAAGGGACGCGAGACUGCGAAGUGGAGCUAAUCCCAAAAAGCUGGUCUAAGUUCAGAUUGCAGUCUGCAACUCGACUGCAUGAAGGUGGAAUCGCUAGUAAUCGCGUAUCAGCCCGGCGCGGUGAAUACGUUCCCGGGCCUUGUACACACCGCCCGUCACACCACGAAAGCUGCCUGUACUCGAAGUCGCUGAG
rnacentral:rRNA from 1 species